rnacentral:rRNA from 1 species
UACGUAGGGGGCAAGCGUUGUCCGGAAUUAUUGGGCAUAAAGAGCGUGUAGGCGGUCCGGUAAGUCGGCUGUGAAAGUCCAGGGCUCAACCCUGGGAUGCCGGUCGAUACUGCCGGACUAGAGUUCGGAAGAGGCGAGUGGAAUUCCCGGUGUAGCGGUGAAAUGCGCAGAUAUCAGGAGGAACACCGGUGGCGAAGGCGGAUCUCUGGGCCUUACCUGACGC